rnacentral:rRNA from 1 species
GACGAACGCUGGCGGCGCGCCUAACACAUGCAAGUCGAACGAGCGAGAGAGAGCUUGCUUUCUUGAGCGAGUGGCGAACGGGUGAGUAACGCGUGAGGAACCUGCCUCAAAGAGGGGGACAACAGUUGGAAACGACUGCAAUACCGCAUAAGCCCACGGUGCCGCAUGGCACAGAGGGAAAAGGAGCAAUCCGCUUUGAGAUGGCCUCGCGUCCGAUUAGCUAGUUGGUGAGGUAACGGCCCACCAAGGCGACGAUCGGUAGCCGGACUGAGAGGUUGAACGGCUACAUUGGGACUGAGACACAGCCCAGACUCCUACGGGAGGCAGCAGUGGGGAAUAUUGCACAAUGGGGGAAACCCUGAUGCAGCGACGCCGCGUGGAGGAAGAAGGUCUUCGGAUUGUAAACUCCUGUUGUUGGGGAAGAUAAUGACGGUACCCAACAAGGAAGUGACGGCUAACUACGUG